rnacentral:miRNA from 1 species
UAUGGAAGCUGUCAAUAUCGAUC